rnacentral:rRNA from 1 species
UACAGAGGUCUCAAGCGUUGUUCGGAUUCAUUGGGCGUAAAGGGUGCGUAGGCGGCGCUGUAAGUCGGGUGUGAAAUUUCGGAGCUUAACUCCGAAACUGCAUUCGAUACUGGCGUGCUUGAGGACUGGAGAGGAGACUGGAAUUCAUGGUGUAGCAGUGAAAUGCGUAGAGAUCAUGAGGAAGACCAGUGGCGAAGGCGGGUCUCUGGACAGUUCCUGACACUGAGACACGAAGGCCAGGGGAGCAAACGGG